rnacentral:lncRNA from 1 species
GUUUUUAGCUCAGCCGCAGUGGCAAUUCGAUUCAGUUUAGGACGUGGGCUUGAACGUGGUGGUUCGCUACUUGUCGGCAACAUCGUGGAAAGUGGGAAUAUAGUUUGAAAUUUAAUCGGAAGCGAAGUAGAGGCAGACAGUGAAGAUAAAUAGCAAAAAAAACGAAAUUAAAAUUGUGCAGCCGAGAGAAAACUAUUUAAAAUUUUAGCCGGAAAUUAUUUACAUAAUAUUUCCGUGAGUCAAAAUGAAAUGCCGGUGGGCUGAAUUGGAGCCGCUGCUUAGCUGUAGCUGAGUGUGUUUCUCGAACUUCAGCGAGCUAAUUUCCUCAGGCUUUCGACCGUAUUUUGGCUUUGACUUCGCUUGCUUUGUUUUUGAUUUGAUUUCCAGUGUAAUUUGCCGAAUGCGCUGAUAAAAACGCGAUAGCAACAAUACGAAACCCUAUCUCCAUUUGCAGGGAAUAAAAAUUGAAAAAAAAAACGAAAAAAGGGAAAGCGCGAAAAAUUCGGCGCAAAUUAGCAGCAACGGAAACAUAUACAAUUACAAAAUCGCACGUACAGGUUUUGAUUAAAACACCAAACGUACUCCCAAGAGCAGCUCGUAGGUAGCUUUCCGCAUCCGAAGCCAGCGGUUUCGACCUCAACUCGACAUCAUCAAGGCAGAAAUAUCCGCUACGAUAACAGCAUAGAUUGUUGCAGUGAAAUUACCUCUGCCGUAAAUUUAAAAAGUUUACACGGCUGCCCGCAUGAGCUACACCUGCUGCACGCCGUGCUCAACAACUACUACAAAAAUCUGGAGCAAGCCGUUGUGAACAAAUUCGCUCCACUGUAGCUCAUUUUCGGUUUGACGACAAUACAAAUUGUCGAUGGUGUGUGGACGAAGGAUUCAAUGGCGCCUACACGCCCAACAUUGUGGUAAAGAAUAAUGGCUCAUGUUUUUUAUGUGUUGCCCGAAAUUUUCAAAUCCACCUGGAAAUUUUUGAUCACAUGGUUUCCAUGCCCUAAUCAACGCUGUGGGAUGAAGUUCGGCACAUGAACAUAUGAUGGCUUUCAGCUUGAUUUUCAGCUGCAACACCAUCCCAUAGGGGGCAUUAAUGCCAGUCUCAAUGGCACUGCAGGAUUCAUACUGCUCUCCGAUUCUGGAUAAAAGGCCU